rnacentral:tRNA from 1 species
GCGGAUGUGGCGGAACUGGCAGACGCGCUAGAUUCAGGUUCUAGUGUCCUCACGGACGUGGAGGUUCAAAUCCUCUCAUCCGCA